AUACGGAGGGUGCAAGCGUUACUCGGAAUCACUGGGCGUAAAGCGCAUGCAGGCGGUCUAAUAAGUUGGAAGUGAAAGCCUAUGGCUCAACCAUAGAACUGCUUCCAAAACUGUUAGACUAGAGUCUGGGAGGGGAAGAUGGAAUUAGUAGUGUAGGGGUAAAAUCCGUAGAGAUUACUAGGAAUACCAAAAGCGAAGGCGAUCUUCUGGAACAGUACUGACGCUGAGAUGCGAAAGCGUGGGGAGCAAACAGGAUUAGAAACCCGAGUAGUCC
rnacentral:rRNA from 1 species